rnacentral:tRNA from 1 species
UGUCAGAAACCUGAAAGGGUUUGGUUUCGGCCCAUUUUUAAAGUUUAAUUGCUUUCUGAUAU